rnacentral:rRNA from 1 species
UAGGGGCGUUCAAGAAGCAGGGGAAACAUCGCCUGGCGGCGUGCCUACCCAUGCAUGUCGAACGAGAAAGAGGGGGGCAACUCCUUGAGUAAAGUGGCGACCGGGUGAUACACGUGACUAACCUACCCUUGAGUGGGGAAUAACCUUCCGAAAGUGAGUGGCUAAUACCUGCAUAACAUCGCGAGGCGAGAUUCCUUGUGAUCAAAAGAGCAAUCUGCUUAAGGAGGGGGUCGCGGCUGAUUAGCUAGUUGGUGAGGUAACGGCUCACCAAGGCGAUGAUCAGUAUCCGGCCCUGAGAGGGCGCCACGGACACACUGGAACUGAAACACGGUCCAGACUCCUACGGGAGGCAGCAGUGGGGAAUUUAGCGCAAUGGGGGAAACCCCUGACGCAGCAACGCCGCGUGCGGGACGACGCCCUUCGGGGUGUAAACCGCUUUUCCCAGGGACGAGACUGACGGUACCUGGGGGAAUAAGCCUCGGGCUAACUACCUGCCCAGGCAGACCGCGGGUAAGACGUUAUGAGGCCGAGCCGUAGUACCGAGAGUUACUGGGACGUUAAAGCGGCGCAGCAGGCAGGUCACGCCAAGGUUCAUCCUGUUUAAAAGCCACUCCGGGCAUCAAACCCGAAGGUAUGGUUAGCCGAGGGUUGAAAACCCCGACGUAGAAACUAUGGAGCGGGUUGGGGAACGAAGGGACCGGGUGGGAAAAUUACCCCGAGAUAAUAACGAGGAUUGGACAAUUGGCCGUUAAGAAAGA